GACGAACGCUGGCGGCGUGCUUAACACAUGCAAGUCGAACGGAAAGGCCCUGCUUUUGUGGGGUGCUCGAGUGGCGAACGGGUGAGUAACACGUGAGUAACCUGCCCUUGACUUUGGGAUAACUUCAGGAAACUGGGGCUAAUACCGGAUAGGAGCUCCUGCUGCAUGGUGGGGGUUGGAAAGUUUCGGCGGUUGGGGAUGGACUCGCGGCUUAUCAGCUUGUUGGUGGGGUAGUGGCUUACCCAGGCUUUGACGGGUAGCCGGCCUGAGAGGGUGGCCGGCCACAUUGCGACUGCGAUACGGCCCAGACGCCUACGGGGGACAGCAGUGGGGAAUAUUGCACAAUGGGCGGAAGCCUGAUGCAGCAACGCCGCGUGCGGGAUGACGGCCUUCGGGUUGUAAACCGCUUUCGCCUGUGACGAAGCGUGAGUGACGGUAAUGGGUAAAGAAGCACCGGCUAACUACGUG
rnacentral:rRNA from 1 species